UAAUUGUAUUUAUGUGUGCAGAGGUAAUUGUGGUUAUGUGUGCAGAGGUAAUUGUGUUUAUAUGUGUGCAGAGGUAAUUGUGUUUAUGUGUGCAGAGGUAAUUGUGUUUAUGUGUGCAGAGGUAAUUGUGUUUAUAUGUGCAGAGGUAAUUGUGUUUAUAUGUGCAGAGGUAAUGCAGAGGUAAUUGUGUUUAUGUGUGCAGAGGUAAUGCAGAGGUAAUUGUGGUUAUGUGUGCAGAGGUAAUUGUGUUUAUGUGUGCAGAGGUAAUGCAGAGGUAAUUGUGGUUAUGUGUGCAGAGGUAAUGCAGAGGUAAUUGUGGUUAUGUGUGCAGAGGUAAUUGUGUUUAUAUGUGCAGAGGUAAUUGUGUUUAUAUGUGCAGAGGUAAUGCAGAGGUAAUUGUGUUUAUGUGUGCAGAGGUAAUGCAGAGGUAAUUGUGGUUAUGUGUGCAGAGGUAAUUGUGUUUAUGUGUGCAGAGGUAAUGCAGAGGUAAUUGUGGUUAUGUGUGCAGAGGUAAUGCAGAGGUAAUUGUGUUUAUGUGUGCAGAGGUAAUUGUGGUUAUGUGUGCAGAGGUAAUUGUGUUUAUGUGUGCAGAGGUAAUUGUGUUUAUGUGUGCAGAGGUAAUUGUGUUUAUGUGUGCAGAGGUAAUGCCGAGGUAAUUGUGGUUAUGUGUGCAGAGGUAAUUGUGGUUAUGUGUGCAGAGGUAAUUGUGGUUAUGUGUGCAGAGGUAAUUGUGGUUAUGUGUGCAGAGGUAAUGCAGAGGUAAUUGUGGUUAUGUGUGCAGAGGUAAUUGUGUUUAUGUGUGCAGAGGUAAUUGUGUUUAUGUGUGCAGAGGUAAUGCAGAGGUAAUUGUGGUUAUGUGUGCAGAGGUAAUUGUGGUUAUGUGUGCAGAGGUAAUGCAGAGGUAAUUGUGUUUAUGUGUGCAGAGGUAAUGCAGAGGUAAUUGUGUUUAUGUGUGCAGAGGUAAUGCAGAGGUAAUUGUGGUUAUGUGUGCAGAGGUAAUUGUGGUUAUGUGUGCAGAGGUAAUUGUGGUUAUGUGUGCAGAGGUAAUUGUGGUUAUGUGUGCAGAGGUAAUUGUGGUUAUGUGUGCAGAGGUAAUUGUGGUUAUGUGUGCAGAGGUAAUUGUGGUUAUGUGUGCAGAGGUAAUUGUGUUUAUAUGUGUGCAGAGGUAAUUGUGUUUAUGUGUGCAGAGGUAAUGCAGAGGUAAUUGUGGUUAUGUGUGCAGAGGUAAUUGUGGUUAUGUGUGCAGAGGUAAUUGUGGUUAUGUGUGCAGAGGUAAUGCAGAGGUAAUUGUGUUUAUGUGUGCAGAGGUAAUUGUGUUUAUAUGUGUGGGAGUUAUCUUUCAUAAUGAAUGCCUAACCUCCAUACUAAUGAUCUGUCAUUACACAGAGAAUGAAACAACUUCCUACAAGAGAAAGUCUGAUUCUGACUGGAUGUUUCUCCUCUACCCACCAGUAGUUUGCUAACUGCUUUUCUGACUGCGUUGUCAUACUGAGGGUGUCAGUGCACCAAACAUGUUGCAUGAAUAACAGUUUCUGUGCACCACACAGGACUAUGCAUAACAGAUUGGGGUUCACUCCAUUGUUUUGAUACACUCAUUAUAUUAAUACUCUGCAGGCUUUGCUGUAAAGCUAGCAGGUAGCAUGCUACACCCAAAGAACCCUGGUAUUGGGGGAGGAGGGAAGGUGAGGGUGUGAGGUCAGAUGAUUGUGCAACUUGUAGCUCAUAUUGUAACUUCAGGUUUUUGGGAGAUUGUCUAAUAUUCCUGAUAGGGCAAAUCGAACUAACCCAAUUCUGACUGGGAAGCUAUCACUGAUAAUGAUCACUGUUAUGCACUAUGCUCCC